rnacentral:tRNA from 1 species
GUGCCCAUGGCUUAACGGAUAAGGUGUUUAACUUCUAAAUGAGCGACCAUGAGUUUGAGUCUCAUUGGAUGUG